AGGCAGCAGUGGGGAAUAUUGGACUAUGGGGCCAACCCUGAUCCAGCCAUGCCGCGUGUGUGAAGAAGGCCUUCGGGUUGUAAAGCACUUUAAGCGAGGAGGAAGGUCUUUGAACUAAUAUUUCAAAGAAUUGACGUUACUCGCAGAAUAAGCACCGGCUAACUCUGUGCCAGCAGCCGCGGUAAUACAGAGGGUGCAAGCGUUAAUCGGAAUUACUGGGCGUAAAGCGCGCGUAGGCGGUAUGUUAAGUCGGAUGUGAAAUCCCUGGGCUCAACCUAGGCAUUGCAUCCGAUACUGGCACACUAGAGUGUGGGAGAGGAAGGUAGAAUUCCAGGUGUAGCGGUGAAAUGCGUAGAGAUCUGGAGGAAUACCGAUGGCGAAGGCAGCCUUCUGGCCUAACACUGACGCUGAGGUGCGAAAGCAUGGGGAGCAAACAGGAUUAGAUACCCUGGUAGUCCAUGCCGUAAACGAUGUCAACUAGCCGUUGGGCUCCUUGAGGACUUAGUGGCGCAGCUAACGCGAUAAGUUGACCGGCCUGGGGAGUACGGUCGCAAGACUAAAACUCAAAUGAAUUGACAGGGGC
rnacentral:rRNA from 1 species